rnacentral:rRNA from 1 species
GUAGGUGGCAAGCGUUGUGCGGAAUUAUUGGGCGUAAAGCGCGCGCAGGUGGUUCUUUAAGUCUGAUGUGAAAGCCCCCGGCUCAACCGGGGAGGGUCAUUGGAAACUGGGGAACUUGAGUGCAGGAGAGGAAAGUGGAAUUCCACGUGUAGCGGUGUAAUGCGUAGAUAUGUGGAGGAACACCAGUGGCGAAGGCGACUUUCUGGCCUGUAACUGACACUGAGGCGCGAAAGCGUGGGGAGCAAACAGGGAUUAGAUACCCUGGUAGUCCACGCCGUAAACGAUGAGUGCUAAGUGUUGGGGGGGUUUCCGCCCCCUCAGUGCUGCAGCUAACGCAUUAAGCACUCCGCCUGGGAGUACGGUCGCAAGACCG